CGCGAGGGCCUGGGGAGAAAGUCAAUUAAGUCGGCGUAGCGGGGCAGUUACAUCAGCGGGAGUGACAUUUUAGUGUAGACACUUCCAUAGUGAGGUCAACGUAUCUGCCUUGCAUCCACCUAACUCUGUGGUGUAGACCCGGCCUCAGGCUCACGGGGCUCGGGCUCCAAAACUGCAGUGUGAACGCUGAGGCUCGGGCUGGAGCCUGGACUCUGAUACCCCGCAAGGAGGGAAGGUCCCGGAGCGCGAACAUCUACCCUGCAAUUUUAUAGCCCCACAGCUGAGUCAAAUGACCUGGGCCAGUUGCGGUCUUUUACUGCAGUGCAGACAUACCCUUAGGCAAAUCCGGCCCUUAUUUAGGUGCCCAACGGGGAGCUGAGCUCUUCUGAAAACUCAGCCUCCCUGGUGGGAGUUGGACACUCGCAAAUCUGGUCUGGAAUCAGAAAGCCUAGUCUAGCAGCCCUAGACAGCCUCUUUUUCAGGACGCGGGUACAGACUAACAGCCCAGCUCGUUUAGGAGUCCCUCUCUAGCAGUGGUCAAUGCCGGAUGCUUCAGGAGAAACUACACACUCCCCAGAGGCACACUUAGCUUUCCCAGGCUGGCCCAUGGCUGCAGCUCUGAGAUCAUUGUACAAUCACAAUCCUUUUGAGUCAGGUGAUUGAUUAUGGCUCCUAAACCUCCCUACACGUACUGAAAAAUGGGGAUUACAUCCAAUUGCAGAUAACUCACUCCCUUAGAGCCAGAGGCCAGGGGGAUAAGCACGGCCUAGAUAGCUAGUUAGAAAGCCGGUACUGGGUUUCCCAGCUGACAUGAUUUCCCUUUUCCUAGCUUUAGCCAGAUUAAAAAGGAGCGAAUGAACAAUAUUUCCCCAUGCACUCGAAGGGGAGAUAGCAGCAGAUUAAAGCAGACAACAGCGCGUUACAUGAUCAGCUGGGACAUGAACAUGGAAAGGAGUGUGGCAGAAGGAUGAAUUAGAAGCAUGUUCUGUAGCCCUUGCCUGCAGAUAUUUAAGCAUUGUUAUCUCCUUUGAAAGGUGAAUUGCAGGUCACAGCAAAGCUACGAGUCCAAAGGGAUUAAGCCAAAUUUCCAAAGUACAUCUGUCCGGUUUACCCCAGUUCUUAACGAUCCCUUGUGCAGCACCACCUGUUUCCGCAGGAAAACGAACCCUUGCACUACACAGACCAGGUCACGGAUGUUGCCUGUCACCUACUGUGGUGAUGGAUCUGAGCUCCAUGGGGCCCAUGUUCCACUGCUCGGGGAGGGAUCCCAUUCGAGACACAGAUCGCGCUGAUUCCAGACACAGGGCUUGUGUUCAGCCGCCGACAGGCGGAGGGCUGGAGCCAGUUCUCAGUGGAGCCUUUCCACUGACACCAUGGAGUUAUUCCAGAUUGACACCAGCACCACGAAGAGCAGAAUCAGCCCUGGCGUGUUUCGCCGUCAGCCCCGCGCACUGUCAACCUCGUUCUUCCCCCAGUGCUCAACGAGAGGCUCGGCUGGUGUUGAAACUUUAUUAAUUAAAGAAGCCCCAUACUAAAAACCCAA